AAUAAAUAUGGCAAAUGACUUCAUAAGCUGCCUCUGUGCUGUUAUAGAAGUAUAAUCGGUAGACAUUAUAAGAUGUCAGCUUUUGUCUAUAGUAAAUAUAAUUUACACAGCAGAAAAGAGUGAUUAGAGUCAGAUCACUGAGAGGCUAAUGAAAAAACCCAUCGGCACAGAUGUGGGUUGUUCAUUUUGUAAAAGAUCAAAGAAAUGACAAGUUUUGAAGGUGUUUUACAUGCUCUGAAACUCAUCACAGACGUGUUCAAUCAUGCUCUGAGAUACAAAGCAAUCUAAUCAUUUUUAUAUUAAACAAUUCGAAUCCUAUGGAUUGUGGUUCACAUUUAGAAAGGCAUUAACUUGAGUCAUUCAUGGCUUGAAAGUUAAAGUAUGUUUCAUAAAUUGGAUUGUAAGAAACAUUAACAAAAGAGGGCCCUAACAAAAUAUAACAUAAUAAAGGGAUGGGGCUUGGAGGGAACAAUAAACCAAGAUCAAAUUGCAAAACUAGAUUGCAAUAGCAAAAUAAAUAGAUCUGAUAUGCUGUUAAAAAUAACAGUCUACACAUUUAUUUUGAAAAUGAUGUCCUCUAAUAACGAUUAAAGGAGUUAUUUGAAAAGUUUCAUGUUUUUUUUUAGUCUAGUUAAUGAGAUUGUAGAACAGAAAACAUUGCCAAUGGCUAAGGAAGAGGGGAUAAAAAAGAAAAUUAUGCUUCUUUAGCAUCUUUUGGUAAAUGAGUGCUGUUGCUUAUUCAUGUAAAAUUGAACCAUGAGGGAAAGCACGGAAAAGCAGAAUUAUCUAAGAAAACUGUUGGAAGGACACUUAAAAGAAACUAGGAACAUAUGAAAAAGGCCUCAUGUAUUGAUUCAAACAUGCUACAGC
rnacentral:lncRNA from 1 species